CGCCGCUACGGAGCAGCAGUGGGAUUCUUGCGCAAUGGGCGAAGCCUGACGCAGCGACGCCGCGUGGAGGAUGAAGGCUUUCGAGUUGUAAACUCCUGUCAGAGGAGAAGAAACCCCGAGUAAUCGGGGCUGACGGUAUCCUCAGAGGAAGCCCCGGCUAACUACGUGCCAGCAGCCGCGGUAAAACGUAGGGGGCAAGCGUUGCUCGGAAUUACUGGGCGUAAAGGGUGUGUAGGUGGCUGAGUAAGUCAAAGAUGAAAUCCCGAGGCUCAACYUCGGAAUUGUYUUUGAAACUGUUCAGCUUGAGGAUAGUUGAGGAGARCGGAAUUCCCGGUGGAGCGGUGAAAUGCGUUGAUAUCGGGAGGAACACCUGAGGCGAAGGCGGUUCUCUAAGCUAYUCCUGACACUGAGACACGAAAGCUAGGGGAGCAAACGGGAUUAGAUACCCCGGUAGUCCUAGCUGUAAACGAUGGGCACUAGAUGUUCCUGCUUUUAUGCGGGAGUGCCGAAGUUAACRCGUUAAGUGCCCCGCCUGGGAGUACGGUCGCAGCUGAACU
rnacentral:rRNA from 1 species